GACAGGUAGUGCUGUGUAAGCUUCUGCAUUCUGUCACAACCCUAACCAAAAAGGGAGGACUCUAGCAAUGAAAGUGCCUGGCUCAGCAAGAGACCUGAAUGAAUAUGAACUAACCGAGAAUCAAACUUGAAAAGAUCAGACCAACAUUUACCGAACCUUUAAAAGAAAUUGGCUCAGAGUGCUCAGCAGCUAUGGCAGUAAGUGCUAGAGAAAUCAAUAAAUAACUAUCCGUUCCUCUUCUCUCCCACAUAUCCUACCAUUGGAUUCUACCAGUACCUCCAGGGACAAAAGUCCAAAUGGUGAUACUAGCCCUUUCAGAAGCUGACCCCAGUUAGAUUUAUGAGAAGGCAUCUGGGUUCUAGAAGAAUGAGACUGGCAGAUGAGAGACCAAGAGACUGAGAGGAGCCAGAGACAGGAAGCAGCUGGUGAGAGCUGGCAAGAGUGGCUUGGGAGAGAGCUACAGGAGACCCAGCAGAAAGAGCUGAGUCCUGAGGAGAGCUGGAACAGAACUGCUGUCUGUUCAGGAUAAACGCUGGAGAAUAAUGAUAUUCAGGAGGUCCAAGAGUGAAGCAUGAACUUCUAUUCCAGCUCCUGUCCCACCUCGCAUCCCAUCCCAGCUCAUCUCAUCUCAUCCUCCCUGACCCCAAGAAGCAAACGAGAG